rnacentral:rRNA from 1 species
AACGAACGCUGGCGGCAUGCCUAACACAUGCAAGUCGAACGAGACCUUCGGGUCUAUUGGCGCACGGGUGCGUAACGCGUGGUAACCUGCCCUUAGGUUCGGAAUAACUCCCCUAAAGGGGUGCUAAUACCGGAUAAUGUCUUCGGACCAAAGAUUUAUCGCCUUUUGAUGGGCCCGCGUUGGAUUAGCUAGUUGGUAGGGUAAAAGCCUACCAAGGCGACGAUCCAUAGCUGGUCUGAGAGGAUGAUAAGCCACACUGGGACUGAGACACGGCCCAGACUCCUACGGGAGGCAGCAGUGGGGAAUAUUGGACAAGGGGCGAAAGCCUGAUCCAGCAAUGCCGCGUGAGUGAUGAAGGCCGUAGGGUUGUAAAGCUCUUUUACCCGGGAUGAUAAUGACAGUACCGGGAGAAUAAGCACCGGCUAACUCCGUG